GGCAAGGGGGGUGUGGUUUGAUGGAGAAGGAAAGAAGAAGAGUUGGAUCUAAGUCAAGACGCAAACACACAUUGAGAUGGGUCCACCUAAAGACUUCUGCGGUAGACAGUAAUUGCCCGGCUACUUCAUACAGUAUAAAGUCUUAUCAAGGAACGGUCCCUCUCAUGCGUCAAGCCCCAUACUGAUGGUGACCAGAGAUGUCACACCCAUAUUGGCAAAAGACUUUUUCUUUUUACUUCAAUUACUCCAGGCAGGACUAUGAUAAGUCUUUGUGUCAUCCAACUUUCUGUUUGGAAAAUAAUUGAUAACUAUGCAAUUACUGUGACAUUAAAAUUAGGGGUGACCAAACGGA